rnacentral:misc_RNA from 1 species
AAUGCACGAAAUAAAUCACUGGAUAA